UAUACCGUGAAACUGCGAAUGGCUCAUUAAAUCAGUUAUCGUUUAUUUGAUAGUACCUUACUACUUGGACAACCGUGGUAAUUCUAGAGCUAAUACAUGCUGACAACCUCGACUUACGAAGAGAUGUAUUUAUUAGAUAAAAAACCAACGCCCUUCGGGGCUUCUUGGUGAUUCAUAAUAACUUUACGGAUCGCAUGGCCUUGCGCCGGCGACGGUUCAUUCAAAUUUCUGCCCUAUCAACUUUCGAUGGUAAGGUAUUGGCUUACCAUGGUUUCAACGGGUAACGGGGAAUUAGGGUUCGAUUCCGGAGAGGGAGCCCGAGAAACGGCUACCACAUCCAAGGAAGGCAGCAGGCGCGCAAAUUACCCAAUCCCGAUACGGGGAGGUAGUGACAAUAAAUACUGAUACAGGGCUCUUUUGGGUCUUGUAAUUGGAAUGAGUACAAUUUAAACCUCUUAACGAGGAACAAUUGGAGGGCAAGUCUGGUGCCAGCAGCCGCGGUAAUUCCAGCUCCAAUAGCGUAUAUUAAAGUUGUUGCAGUUAAAAAGCUCGUAGUUGAACCUUGGGUCUGGCUGGCAGGUCCGCCUCACCGCGUGUACUUGUCCGGCCGGGCCUUCCUUCUGGAGAACCUCAUGCCCUUCACUGGGCGUGUUGGGGACCAGGACUUUUACUUUGAAAAAAUUAGAGUGUUCAAAGCAGGCCUUUGCUCGAAUACGUUAGCAUGGAAUAAUAGAAUAGGACGUGCGGUCCUAUUUUGUUGGUUUCUAGGACCCCCGUAAUGAUUAAUAGGGACAGUCGGGGGCAUCAGUAUUCAAUUGUCAGAGGUGAAAUUCUUGGAUUUAUUGAAGACUAACUACUGCGAAAGCAUUUGCCAAGGAUGUUUUCAUUAAUCAGUGAACGAAAGUUAGGGGAUCGAAGACGAUCAGAUACCGUCGUAGUCUUAACCGUAAACUAUGCCGACUAGGGAUCGGGCGAUGUUAUUUUUCUGACUCGCUCGGCACCUUACGAGAAAUCAAAGUUUUUGGG
rnacentral:rRNA from 1 species